GGGUAUAUAGCUCAGUGGUAGAGCAUGCUUAAUAUACACAAGUUCCUGGGUUCAAUCCCCAGUACCUCCA
rnacentral:tRNA from 1 species